UAUUUAAAAACGAAUAUCACUCAUAUAAUACCGAUAAUAUGGUUCGGAAGUAUCUACCGAAUGACCGAGAAUCAUUCGACUAUGAGUGGAAUUAUUAUAUUA
rnacentral:ncRNA from 19 species